rnacentral:rRNA from 1 species
GGAAUAUUGGACAAUGGGCGCAAGCCUGAUCCAGCAACGCCGCGUGGAGGAUGAAGGUCUUCGGAUCGUAAACUCCUGUCGGGCGGGACGACGGUAGCAGGGUAAAUAAUCCUGCUGCUUGACGGUACCGUCAGAGGACGCCCCGGCUAACCCCGUGCCAGCAGCCGCGGUAAUACGGAGGGGGCAAGCGUUAUUCGGAAUUAUUGGGCGUAAAGGGCGCGUAGGCGGCUUGACAAGUCAAAGGUGAAAUCCCUCGGCUCAACUGAGGAACUGCCUUUGAAACUGUCUGGCUUGAGGCCGGGAGAGGGUAGCGGAAUUCCCAGUGUAGCGGUGAAAUGCGUAGAUAUUGGGAGGAACACCAGUGGCGAAGGCGGCUACCUGGACCGGUUCUGACGCUGAGGCGCGAAAGCGUGGGUAGCAAAC